GUGACCCUAGGCCUAGUCGAAUUACCUACUGAGUUUAAGCAUAUUAAUAAGCAUAAGAAAAGAAACUUACCAAGAUUCUCCUAGUAACAGCAACUUAAUCAGAAAGAGCCCAGCUUGAGAAUUCGACACCCUUGGCAUCUAAUUUGUAGUAUGGAAAAACAUCCUUAGCGAUGGACUAGGCCCAAGUCCCCUAGAAGAGGCGUUAAAAAAGGAGAGAGUCGUAUUGUGCCUGGACCCUGUUGCACCAAGGGAUGCUAUCUGUGAGUCGAGUUGUAUCAAAAUACAACCCUAAUAAGGUGGUAAAUUUCAUCCAAAGUUGAAUGUAGGUGAGAGACCAAUAGUGAACAAGUACUAUGAAGGAAAGAAGAAAAGGACUUUGAAAAGAGAGUCAAAAAUUGCUUGAAAUUCUUGGAAGAGAAAUGGAUGAGGGUUGGCGAUGUGCCCCAGUUGGAUGUGGAAUGAUAAGAGUCGAUUCGUCGAUCGGUUCAAGGUAUGGAUCGAUGUGGGUCACGCUGGUUGCUCAAGCUCAGGCUAUCAAUAUGCCAAUAGAGACAUCGACUAUGGGCUCCCCAUCCAACCCAUCUUGAAACAUAAACUAAAAAGUCUAACAUGUGUGUGAGUCAAUAGGUUAAAAAACCCGUUGGGCAUAAAGAAGCUAAUUUGUGGGAUCUUUCAUGGGUGUACCAUUAAUCAACCUUGAUUUUUUUAGAAGGGUUCAAGUGUGAGCAUGCCUAUCAAGGCUGAAAAGAUGGUGAACUAUGCUUGAGCGAGGUAAAGCCAGAAGAAACUCUGAUGGAGGCCCACACUGAUACUGACAUACAAAUCAUUCAUUUCACUAGGUAUAGGGGAAAAAAAUGAUCAAACUAUCUAGUAGCUGGUUCUCUUUGGAUAGUAGAGCCUUUAGCAUGUUUUAUUAGGUAAAGCCAAUGAUUAGAGGCAUCAUGGCGCAAUGCCCUUAACCUAUUCUCAAACUUUAAACAGGUAGGAUCGCAUGACUUCUUCAUUAAGCCACUCUAUGGAAUCAAGAGCUCUAAGUGGGCCAUUUUUGGUAAACAAAACUGGUGAUGCAGGAUGAAUUAGAAAUCAAGUUACAGUGUCCAACUAUGCGCUAACCUAGAACCCACAAAGGGUGUUGGUCAAUUAAGACAAUAGAACAGUGGCCAUGGAAGUUAAAAUUUGCUAAGAAGUGUGUAACAACUCACCUACCAAAUCAACUACUCUUGAGAAUGGAUGGCGCUUAAGUACACAACCUAUACCCAACCAUCAUGGCUAAGGCCAGGCCCUGAUGAGUAAGAGAAAGCCUAGAAUGGUCAUCAGUGCAGAUCUUGAUCAUAGUAACAGCUAUUCAAAUCUAAUCUUUGAAGCCCAAAGAAAGGAAAGGUUCCAUGUGAAUGGCACUUACACAUGGAUUAGUUAAUCUUAAAAGAUGGCAAAAACCCAUCUGACAGAGUGUCCAGUGCGAGCUUCGAAAGGGAAUUAGGUUAAAAUUCCUAAACUGAGAUAUGAUGGCUUAUGACAAUGUUAGGAAGUCUAAAGACAUUAGUAAGGGCCUUGUGAAGAGUUAUUUUUCUGUUUAAUGGCUUGUGCACCCUAGAAAUGGCUUAGCUAAAGGUAAGGUCCACCUGCUAGAAUAGUACUGCACAUUGAGUGUCAUCCGAUAUGCCCCCUAUAGCCCUUUAAAAUCUAGAAGACCAAGUGCCAUCCAUGCUCGAUCGCACUCAUAACCACAUUAAGUCUUCAAGGUGAAUAGCCUUUGGUCAAUGGAAUAAUGUAGGCAAGGGAAGUCAAAAAAUGGAUAAGUAACUUUGAGAAAAUGAUUGGCUCUAAAGGCUAGGCAUGAAGGUUUUAUCCUAAACCUAUCAACUAUCAAUGCACUACUCUACUCCCAUAACUAGAGUGGGUCACUGCUUGCUGGUCAAAGGAUAGAUUAGGACACCUCCCUAGGGGGCUUUCCUUGAAGCAACAAAUAGUUGGCUCAAAACUGGUAUAGACAAGGGGAAUUUGACUAUUUAGUUAAAAAAAAGCAUUAUGAUGGUCUCUACAAUGCCCACGAAAUGUGAUUUCUACCUAGUGCUUUGAAUGUCAAAGUGAAGAAAUUCAACCAAGCAUGGGAAAAUGGUGAGAAUAACUAUGACUCUAUUAAGGUAGACAAAUGCCUUGUCAUCUAAUUAGUGAAUACACAUGAAUGGAUCAACAAGAUUCCCACUAUCCCUAUCUACUAUCCAGUGAAACCAUGGCCAAAGGAACAGGCUUGGUAGAAUUAGCAGGGAAAGAAGACCUUAUUGAGCAUGACUUUAGUCUGACUUUGUCAAAUGACUUGAGAAGUGUGGCAUAAAAGGGAGCCUUCAAGUGAAAUUAAUAUACCACUACUUUUAACAUUAUUUUAAAGGCUAGCCUUAGUUGGUCAAUUCAGGUAGAAAACAUUGUCAGGUAGGGAGUUUGGCUAGGGUGGAACAUCUAUUAAAAGAUAGCGCAUGUGUCCUAAGAUGAGCUCAAUAAGAAUAGAAAUCUCACAUGGAACUAAAAGGUAAAAUCUUAUUUGAUUCAAAUCUCUAGUAUGAAUACAAACUAUGAAAGCAUGGCCUAUCAAUCUUUUAGACUUUCAAAAUUUAAAGCUAGAAGUGUUAAAAAAGUUACCAUAGGGAUAACUAGUUUGUGGUAGCCAAGCAUUCAUAACAACAUUGCUUUUUAAUCCUCUGAUGUCGGCUCUUCCUAUCAUUGUGAAGCAAAAUUCACCAAGUGUUGGAUUGUUCACCCACCAAUAGGGAACGUGAGCUCAAUUUAGACCAUUGUGAGAUAGGUUAGUUUUACCCUACUGAUGGUAGUGUCACAAUAGUAAUUCAACCUAGUAUAAGAGGGACUGUUGAUUCACAUAAUUGGUCAUCACGUUUGGUUGAAAAGCCAGUGGUGCAAAGGUACUGUGCACUGGAUUAUGAUUGAAUGCCUUUAAGUCAGAAUCUAGGCUAGAAGUAAUGCAAGUGCCCAUUACCUAAUUGUUGACCCAUAGUAAGGGCUCAUGGCCCUCAAGGGCAUGUAUCGUAGGUGUAACCCCUACGGUGGACAAUCCAUGUGAGCCUCUUUG
rnacentral:rRNA from 1 species